GCCCGGAUAGCUCAGUCGGUAGAGCAUCUG
rnacentral:piRNA from 3 species